rnacentral:sRNA from 1 species
UCAUAGCCCUGAUAGAAGCGGUAUCCUUUUUCUUGCUUUUUUUGCAAGGAAAAGAUACAAGCGGAUAGCAGGAAUAGCU